UGGGGAAUAUUGCACAAUGGGCGCAAGCCUGAUGCAGCCAUGCCGCGUGUAUGAAGAAGGCCUUCGGGUUGUAAAGUACUUUCAGCGAGGAGGAAGGCGUUGUGGUUAAUAACCGCAACGAUUGACGUUACUCGCAGAAGAAGCACCGGCUAACUCCGUGCCAGCAGCCGCGGUAAUACGGAGGGUGCAAGCGGUAAUCGGAAUUACUGGGCGUAAAGCGCACGCAGGCGGUCUGUCAAGUCGGAUGUGAAAUCCCCGGGCUCAACCUGGGAACUGCAUCCGAAACUGGCAGGCUAGAGUCUUGUAGAGGGGGGUAGAAUUCCAGGUGUAGCGGUGAAAUGCGUAGAGAUCUGGAGGAAUACCGGUGGCGAAGGCGGCCCCCUGGACAAAGACUGACGCUCAGGUGCGAAAGCGUGGGGAGCAAACA
rnacentral:rRNA from 1 species